GAAGGGUGCAAGCGUUACUCGGAAUUACUGGGCGUAAAGCGUGCGUAGGUGGUUUGUUAAGUCUGAUGUGAAAGCCCUGGGCUCAACCUGGGAAUGGCAUUGGAUACUGGCGAGCUAGAGUGCGGUAGAGGGGUGUGGAAUUCCCGGUGUAGCAGUGAAAUGCGCAGAGAUCGGGAGGAACAUCUGAGGCGAAGGCGACACCCUGGACCAGCACUGACACUGAGGCACGAAAGCGUGGGGAGCAAACAGGAUUAGAUACCCUGGUAGUCCACGCCCUAAACGAUGCGAACUGGAUGUUGGGAGCAAUUAGGCUCUCAGUAUCGAAGCUAACGCGUUAAGUUCGCCGCCUGGGGAGUACGGUCGCAAGACUG
rnacentral:rRNA from 1 species